CCCUGGCAUGUCCUUCUCAGGAAGUCUCUUCACAUUAACUGUAUGUAUAGGAGGAGGAGCAUCCCUAACAUGUUUGGUUCCAUGGAUCUGUGCCUCUAAUGUGUAAGUUAGGGCAAUGAGUUUGAGAUCAACAUCUGACAGGGUCUGCAAGUCACCAGUUGCCCUUGCAAAUUUGACAACUUUGUUGAGAGCUUCAGGGGUGGGCUCCAUGGAGUCGAUUUUGAAGGGAACGAAAGAAAGUCGGUGGCGGGAGACGGGAUCGCGAAUCUCGGCGAGGACUUCAGGGACGGUAACGAACUUGUCGGCCAAGUUAUGGAGCUUUUCUCCACCUUCGAUUACGGCGUUUGCAUCUAUUACUGCCAUCGAAAUGCCCAUCGUGGACUUGCAGCUUUCGACCAAUAGUUGAUUUGUCGCAUUGGGGUUUUGCUUGUUUUCCGGUGGAGGUUGGUUUUUGACUACGUUGCUCCAACAUGAAGACGUUGGUAAGGACAGAGACUGUGAGGUCUCCAUGGCCAUGCCUCACAGAGUAUAGGCGAUUAUGGAGUAUGGACUAUGCUCUGUGAAAUACAAAACCCUAGCUAUUAGCAAAAG
rnacentral:misc_RNA from 1 species